UAAGGACUGCAGCUCUUGUCUCACAGACUCUAUACAUGCAUUAUGUUCUGCUGAGAGCUGAAUGGCCAGGACCUCCCCUGUUGCCUUAACAAGUUUCCCCAAAACAGCACGGGAAUCGCCAAGAUUGGCAACAUAGAGAGUUCCGCUGCAUAUAACUCCAACCAGGCAGCAUGAACCAACUGCUGCAAGUUGUGCAUUUAUUGGCCAUUGUUGGCUAACAAUAGAGGUAAAGCUCUCUUCUGUUGCUUGGAAGGCCUUCCGUAUUACCUCCACCGACACGGAUUGGUGCUCUGAAGUAAAUCCUGCAGAAUUAAGAACAAGUAGUUAACCUGGAGCUCUUAAAAACCUUUAAAACAAUUAAAUAAGAACUUUAAACCAUGAGUGUUAGCAUGACGAAAACUCAGGUCAUUUUACUUCAUAGCCACACUAUUUGGUAAGUAAGGCAUGUAAAGGGAAAAACAGAUUCUAAACUCUCCAUUUUCUUAAAAUUAACUACUACAAGGAGUCCAAGCAAACAACAAAUCCCCAUGAACUAGUUUAAUACAAUUAUUUGGCUCAAUCAAGAAAAGCUCACAUUCAUAGUACAUUUUCCUUUCUUCUCCUUUCUCAACGUUUUGUUUCACAUAAUGUCUUCUCUUUUCCUAGACCAAAUAAAGUUUGAUGAAACGAUGAUACUUGUACUUUGGAACAAGAAAUCAUAUAUUAUCAAAUCAAAUUAAAGUUCUCAAUUCAACUGGAUUUCAAGUGACUUACUCUUGAGAUGUUGAAAGAGUUGAACAUUGAUGAACCGCGAUGUCUCGGGGCCCCCAUGCCCAUCGUAAACUCCUACAAAAGUACCAUAUGGCCCCGACUCGUGCAAGCUCAAACAGCCUGAUUCAAGCUGGCUCUGAUCCUCAAGUAAAUUGUUGGCUUGGACUACAGCCAUUGAAAACUCACCAUUAAAAUGUUGCCCUGUAUCCUUGUACCAUAAGAGCCCAUCUUGACGCCCACCGCCAUCAGAGUUAGUGUGAACAUACCCAUCCGACCUUGGCCGAAAACAGGUCUUUAAAAGGUUCAUUAACCCGGAUAACAUACCUCAUCUCAUCCAAAUCACCCUCCAAAUAAUCCACAUCUAAUGAGGACCUAAAUUAAAUAUGGCCUAAAUAUACCUCAAUUGUGAGCUGUCUCCUCCUCUGAAACGCAACAACUAUAUGCACUAAAGUCUACAAAAAACAUCAAAGAGAAACAACAAAGACAGAAAAAUAAGAACUUGGAAAAACUAAAAAACCUACUAACUGAAAGAAAUAUAUAAAUAAGAAAUCUAGUCUUUGUUAAAAUAAGUUAAGAAUUGCUACAGCAGACAGGAAUAAUGACUUCAAUAUAAUAAACCCUAUCUGCUUCUUCUUAAACAGAUCCCAUGUAGUAAUGUAAUCAUAACAGCCGCUAGUAAUGAAAAUAUCAACCCAAACACAGAAAAUUGGAAUCUUUUGAAAAAUAAAGUAGUCAAAUUCAAUUUGUUCUUUCAAAUCCAGAAGGUCCAACUAAUACAAAAUAUCCCAACUUCUCCAAAUUCCAGGAACUCCCUCCCAGCUCACAAAAGAAAUCAACUCUAAUAUUUUCAACAAAAACACCAUACACACUGCACAUUUAUAGAAAAAGAUGGUUAAAGAACUAACCUUUAGGACAGAAAGUAGAGGAAGAUCUGAAAGUGAAAUAGUUAGAUCUGUGGAUCCAUCAAAUCAAAGGGGAAUUGAAGUGGGUUUCGAUUAUUAUUUUGUUUCUCUCUUUUUUGAGCACAAGCUUGACGAGGUAUAUAUAAAGAGAGAGAGAGAGAGAGAGAGAGAGAGAGAGAGAGAUAGUAUUAUGUAUGAGUUGAUUGGGCCAACUGAAACUCUGGUCUUUCUCAGCAGACAAAGCUUAUUAAAAACCAAUACCAGAGAGCUUCAAGCCAGCAAAGCAGAGGACCAGUCUGGGNNNNNNNNNNNNNNNNNNNNNNNNNNNNNNNNNNNNNNNNNNNNNNNNNNNNNNNNNNNNNNNNNNNNNNNNNNNNNNNNNNNNNNNNNNNNNNNNNNNNUAGAUAGAGGAAAAAGAAUAAUAAUUGUAAAAUAAAAAUAGUGGUAAAUAGUGGUGUGGUUAGCAUGACUUAUAUUGUAUUGCUCAAUCAAUCGAUACGUAAGUAAGUCGAAAAAUAAUUUUUUUACGUGAUUGUAUUGUAUUGAUUAAUUGAUUAAUAUAUCAUAAAUUUAAUCUAAUAAUAACCUGAUCUAAAGAAAUAGGGAGUCAAUGAAGCUAUUAGGAUAUGAUUCAAUGCAUGUCAAAUUUUUGAUGGGGAUAGUGUUAACGCUAGGAUCUUCUAUCACGCCCCAAUCACGUAAGACGUCCUGAUCCUGCACAGUAAAUACGGUAAACACCACAAGCUUGACGGCAGUUCCGUCGGGGGAUAGCUCAGGCGUGAGAAUUAGUAUGUGUUCACAAGGUUAACAAUGGAGGAUUGUACUGUCUAGUGUCUGGAGAGAGAUAAUAAUUCUCAGUCGUGUGUAUAUGGGAGAAUAUGAAAAAUCAAUAUGUAUAAGAACGUACCUCUAGACGAUGGCUUCCUUGCUAGGUUAUACUAUCUUUACUUGGAUUACUGUGCCACCCACUACUACCUGACACCCCCUCUGAUCUGAUGGGCUCUGCCGACUGUGUAAGGUUUAUCUACUGCUUUUGGCCACUGUUUUCUACCGCCGGCCGGCUAUGAUCCCAUCCACAUUAAUGCAUGGCAGGAGCCUUGGUCAACCGUCAUGCUUUUUCAUCAUCACAAGUCAAAGUAACAGAUAUUAAAAUAUCUAAUGGGUCGAUCCACUGGACUGACCCGGCCUUAAAGAUUAAAACGGAUAUAAUAUGGUGACUGGGCCCAGUGACUUUAACGGAUUAAAAAUAAAGGCCCAAUGUUUCCGGCCCAAAGAUAGGAAAUAUCACGACCCAACAUUGCCCCCUAGUUUUUUGUUAAACAGAAUGUUUAGUAGAAAACUAUGAAUGGCCCAAGAUAGUUUACUAAAGGUCCAUAAUAGGAGAUAAUUGAAGUGUACCCAAUCGCUGUUCACGAAAUGAAAGGAGAAGAGAAUGGAGGCCCAAAUCAGAAAAGCCCUAUUUAAUAGAUACAUGGACCCGGAACCGGACCCUUCCUAUUCAAAUUCCAAAUCAUUACUAACAUUUAAUGAGCCGGCCUUGAACAUUGUGUAACCGUCAGUAUAAAAGGUAACUUUUCCAAUCUUGACAGUUUUACCUGCCCAUUUGAAUUUUGAGCGCCUUCUGAACUCUCUGACUUUCUGAACUUUCUCCUUUCUUCUGCAAUUAAUCANNNNNNNNNNNNNNNNNNNNNNNNNNNNNNNNNNNNNNNNNNNNNNNNNNNNNNNNNNNNNNNNNNNNNNNNNNNNNNNNNNNNNNNNNNNNNNNNNNNNACAUGUAUAUCUUGUAUUUUAGUUUCAAAAAAGAUUUGACGAGUGUGGGCUUUAAAAGGUCAUGAUUCCCACACAUGAAUUUAGGAUUCGACAAAAUUUGAACGGAUAGUAAAUUUUAUGAAUUAGAAAAUUUAAAUACUCGACAUUUACACCAAACGAAAUAUUUGAAGGGUCCAAAUCCAAAUACACCCCAAAUCAACGAAACAUAUGGACCCUCAAUUUCUUUUACUAAUAAGCAAGAUUUAUUCCUUAAAAAUUAACUCAAAUUUAUGUUCUCAAAACAAAUGCUCAUAAACAAAGAACUUAUACGAUUGGAUCGGUAUAAUUGAGAGUAAAAAAGCUACUUGUCGCAGUGUAAUAAGUGUUUUUAACAUCUAGCCUCUGAUGUGGUUAUGAGGUAAAAACUAUAAUAAAAUUGAUGUCUGCCCAUCUUGCCCUCAAUAAUUGUUCUUUACUCUAAAUGGAGGAAAUAUUGAAACUUUUAUGAUAAAUAAUAUUAAAAAAAACAUCUUUGGCUCAAAUUCAUAUCACUGAAGUUGGAAAUUUUAUAACAAUUUAAAACAUUGGUAGUGUGAAUAUUGCAGAGUAAAUUCGGUGUAGAUCAGGAAUAUAACAAAUAUGAAGUCAGUGCCACGUAAGGAAAUUCCAACCCCCUAUAAUAUUCUUGGAAGCCAACAUUUUUAAGUAGCGUUAGGGCAAUGAAUACUAUAAAAAAAAGUGUUGAUACCCUAAUUGACAAACUUUACCAUAAAAUAAAUUGUGCAAAGAUGAACUUACCUGUAUAAGACCCUUUACACGCCACACAUUAUGCUUCAAAACUACAAUAUGUGGGUCAUCUGGGUGUAAGGACUGCAGCUCUUGUCUCACAGACUCUAUACAUGCAUUAUGUUCUGCUGAGAGCUGAAUGGCCAGGACCUCCCCUGUUGCCUUAACAAGUUUCCCCAAAACAGCACGGGAAUCACCAAGAUUGGCAACAUAGAGAGUUCCGCUGCAUAUAACUCCAACCAGGCAGCAUGAACCAACUGCUGCAAGUUGUGCAUUUAUUGGCCAUUGUUGGCUAACAAUAGAGGUAAAGCUCUCUUCUGUUGCUUGGAAGGCCUUCCGUAUUACCUCCACCGACACGGAUUGGUGCUCUGAAGUAAAUCCUGCAGAAUUAAGAACAAGUAGUUAACCUGGAGCUCUUAAAAACCUU
rnacentral:lncRNA from 1 species